rnacentral:rRNA from 1 species
GACGUGGGGCGCGAGCGUUGUCCGGAUUUAUUGGGCGUAAAGAGCUCGUAGGCGGCUCGUUGCGUCGGCUGUGAAAACCCGCAGCUCAACUGUGGGCUUGCAGCUGAUACGGGCGGGCUUGGAUUCGGUAGGGGAGACUGGAAUUCCUGGUGUAGCGGUGAAAUGCGCAGAUAUCAGGAGGAACACCGGUGGCGAAGGCGGGUCUCUGGGCCGAUAUCGACGCUGAGGAGCGAAAGCGUGGGGAGCGAACAGG